rnacentral:rRNA from 1 species
CCUACGGGAGGCAGCAGUGAGGAAUAUUGGUCAAUGGGCGGGAGCCUGAACCAGCCAAGUAGCGUGAAGGAUGACUGCCCUACGGGUUGUAAACCUCUUUUAUAAAGGAAUAAAGUGGGGCACGUGUGCCUUUUUGCAUGUACUUUAUGAAUAAGGAUCGGCUAACUCCGUGCCAGCAGCCGCGGUAAUACGGAGGAUCCGAGCGUUAUCCGGAUUUAUUGGGUUUAAAGGGAGCGUAGGUGGGUUGUUAAGUCAGUUGUGAAAGUUUGCGGCUCAACCGUAAGAGGGCAAUUGAUACUGGCAGGCUUGAGUACAGUUGAGGUAGGCGGAAUGCGUGGUGUAGCGGUGAAAUGCUUAGAUAUCACGAAGAACCCCGAUUGCGAUGGCAGCUUACUAAACUGACACUGACGUUGAGGCACGAAAGCGUGGGUAUCAAACAGGAUUAGAUACCCGAGUAGUC